rnacentral:lncRNA from 1 species
UUUUUUUUUUUAAUAUUAUUUAUUUAUUGGGGGUGGGGGGGCAGAGACACAGGCAGAGGGAGAAGCAGGCUCCAUGCAGGAAGCCUGACGUGGGACUCAAUCCCAGGUCUCCAGGAUCACAACCUGGGCUGCAGGCGGCGCUAAACUGCUGCACUACCGGGGCUGCCCUUAUUAGCCUGUUCUGAAAUUAUUUCAAACUUACAGAAAAACUACAAAAAUUAAGUAUAAAGACUUCCUACAUUUUUACCCUCAAUUUUUAACAUUUUGCCACAAUUUACUUUAUCACCAUCUCCAUCUAUAUACGCAGUUUUUUUCUGAACCACUUGAAAGUAGGCUGCAUACACAAUAAUCAUGAUUUAGCUUCCUACACAGGUUUUCCUAAAGGCAUCAAACAAUGGACAUGUCUAUAGAAUAGUGCUCCCUCACCCACAGUCAACUAUGAUUCGGAAGCCUUUUGAAGUAUGGGGAGGUCAACAGUAGCCUGAUGCUUACAUCACAAUGCCUAGGUCAUUCACUUCACUUCAUUCCUUAGGCAUUUUACCGUUUCACAUCACAAGGGCAAGUACAAGUUAUUUUGAGAGACCACAUUCAUAUAACUUUCAUUACAGUGUACUGCUAUAAUUGUCCAACUUUAUUGUUAUUAAUCUCUUCCUGUGCCUAACAUACACUUUAUCAUAGGUAUGUAUGUAUAGAAAACAGUACAUACAAAGUCAGGUACUAUCUAGUUGUAGGCAUUCACUGGUGGAUCUUGGAACUUCUCCUUUACAGGUAAGAGGGUACUACUACAUAAGUUCUGGUCUCAGUGAUAGCUACAUUAUAGUAAUUUAAUCAGUUAAUGUUUUGAUUGUGCAUAGCUCAAUGAGUUUGAUGUUAGAAAUGGACCCAUGCUCAGAAUUCUGAUGAAAUCUGGUGUGUGAAGAGUAACCCUUCUCCCUCUACUUCCCUUCCCCUACUGUCACUGGUGGGGACAUUGGUGGGGAUACUGGGGCUGGUGACAAACUGAACCAGGUUAUACUUGAUUUUUUGUAUCUUGGAGAAUCUUCUGAAACUUCUGACUAGCUCUGGGUGUCCAUCCCACUGGCAGAGGACUGCAAUUAUUCCCCAUGAUGUAAGAACCUGCAAGAAUGGGCCAUCAGCUUACCUUGAAUAAAUUGUUGCCCCUUUGUACACACAGCCCAUCUUAUUACACAUUAAACGGGUUGAGGAGGCCCUUGGAUUGGCUCCCAGAGUUUCCUGAGACUGGGAAGUAAAAGUAAUAAAAAGUUUUCUUGUUGUCAAUCUGAGGAUUGACGAACGAGAAAGUGCAAAUGCUUGAUUGCAUUUCCUUUAAACAAAGGAAAAGUCAAAAAAAGACACUGAAAAUCUAAGGUUAAGAUAAAAUAUCUCAUACACACUGAAUCAGGUGAACAGCUUAAAAGAAUAUACUGGUAGGCUAAAAGUUAAGACAGUGGAACCCUCUAAAAGCAGACAGCAGGUCCCAAUUUUUAAAAUCCCUACUAUCUAGUCAUCCAUCAAAUGCUUUAAAUAUUUCCUAUAUGAAAGAAAACAGAAGUGGUUUACCAGAAAAUGUACAUAUGGUUGCCAAAGAACUUGCAGACAGGUGAGAGAACACUUAGUAAUGAAUUACUACAGGACUCCAAGGUUAUUGAGAGUGUAAAUAAUUGAGGGAAAAUAAUGGAGGACGGCACACUUUACCAGAAGCUUUCCUU